rnacentral:ncRNA from 1 species
CACUCAUCAAACCCUGGAAAAGUUGUUGGCCAAUACAGACCGCUGUAGAGUGGCCAUGCAAGUCGGAAUCUGCUGAGGAGUGAGUAACAUCUGCCGAAUGCGCUAUCCCUGGAAAUGGACGCGGCUGGAGCG